rnacentral:misc_RNA from 1 species
GGCUAUUCCCUUUUCACCUUCUCAAAAUUAUUAUUUGAGUGGUUCAGAAUAUUUGCCCAAAUGCAGUGUUCUUGGUAGCAGCAGAACUGGCUCAUCAAAACUAGUACUAACAAUUUCAGCAAAGGCUAAAAAAGAUGACGCACAAGAAGAAGAAGAAGAACCAAAAAACAAGAGGAAACAAUCGUUGUUUUCAAGUGUAACUGAAGCUCUUGAUUUUUCUCAAGUUAGAUCUGCAAAGGAUGCUGAGCUUCUUGAUGAAGCAAGAGAAAAAACUCAAUCUGGAGAGAGAAUGUCUAAAGAACAGUAUGGAGCUCUUAGAAGGAAGAUUGGUGGAACAUACAAAGAUUUCUUCAAGUCCUAUGUUGAAGUGGAUGGACAAUAUGUGGAGGAGGGAUGGGUAGACAAAACAUGCAAGGUUUGCAAGAAAGAUACAAGUGGAGAAGCAAGACAAGUUGACAAAAUGGGACGAUAUGCGCACGUAGCUUGUCUACAAAAAUCCAACCCUGGAAAUUUCUUCACCAAGCUCUUCUCAAGAUGAAUUUUAUAGUAUAUAUCCUCCUCAUAUAUAUGAAUGAACUCCACAGAAUAUAAUAGCCUUGGCCAUUUUGUGUUUUUCUUUUUUUCUUGACUCAAUCAUGAAUGUCAUCAAUU